rnacentral:lncRNA from 1 species
GGAGUGGCCUUGGUGGAACCAGCACGUGAUUGGCUCAUCUUGGUCUUUGGACAGGCUGUCACAAGCUGUAAAAGGAAGAGCAAGUUGGACUAUGUACCUGGACUGAUCUAUGGACUGAUUCAGGUGUAAUGUUGGUGCAUUCAUAGCCAAGUAUUCUCUCCUCCAAUCACCAGCCACUACUCAGAUUGCCAAGACCUCCAAGACCUGAUCCAAGUCGUCCAUUUCAAACCAGACAAUCCCCACUGUCCAUCUCUUAUCCUUAGAUUAGGGUUUAUUAGUUACAACUUGUAUUUUCCUAUAAAAAGACCCUUAAGGGGCAUUUGUAACUUUUAAGAGAGUUAGGGGGAUUUCCCCUUCUCCUUCAUAGUCUUUGGUUACUUUGAAUCUCCCAAUCUCUAUUCUCGGGUUACUUAAUCUCUCAGUCUCUCUAAUCUCUCAAUCUCUCACCCAAAGUCUCUUAAUCUCACACCAUUCUUAUUCUUCCAUCAGUCUCCUAAUCUCACGCCAUUCUUAUUCUUCCAUCAGUCUCUUUGUUAUUCUCUUCCAUUGUUGAACAAGACUCAGUCCCAACCUGUGGAGGUUGAUUCACCACGCCCACACACAGCCUGUGCUCUGAAAACCUCACAAUUUAUUCCACUUCCUGGUGAUUAUCCACUAAUUUAUGUAUCCAAAUACUGCUUCUUACAUCGAGAUUCAUCCUGGUUUGAUCAGAAUGACGAGGAAGUUGUCAUAUUCCCAAACAGGAAAACUGGGAUCACCUGAUUUGAAAGUGGGAUAACUUCUUCAUCCUAAUUCCUAUGAGAAUUAUUCCACUUCCUGGUGAUUCUCCACUACUU